AUAUCCAUAGAGAUGAGGUUCGGGCUCUGCUGCAACGACUUCUAAGGGGGAAAACUAGUGGUGGAGAUACUAACACAAACGUGGUGGAUAUGAAAGCGGUUUUCUUUGAGAUGACACUGAAUAUCAUGAUGAUGAUGAUCGCUGGGAAAAGAUACUAUGGUGAUUCUGCUGGGAAAUUGGAGGAAUCUAGGAGGUUUAAAGAGAUUGUUAUCGAAUCUUUCCAAGUGAG
rnacentral:misc_RNA from 1 species